AAAUAAAAUUAUUGUAUAAGCCAUAAAUUUAAAAAUUAUUAAUCUAAUAAUUCCUCGCCCUAAAAUUUCAUUCCACUUACAUAUUUUAAUUUUUUCAAAAAAAAAAAAAAAGAAAAGAAGAACCUGAAGGCAGGUAAGAAACGACACCGUAUCCAGUUUGCGGGACUGGAAGAAAAUUUCAACGCUAAAUUGGCGGGCUUGACAACUGUCAAGAAGAGCGAUUAGUUAUUUCACACGAAAUCGGAAGAUAGAAAAGGACAAUCUUUUGCCAAUACGGUUGCUGGGUUUCCAUGUAAAGAGCCUGCAAACCUUUCUGAAAAUCUUUCAAAUGCUGCUAGUGGUUCACGAUCUGAUGUCCAUUCUGCUGUAUCUCUCUGCCCAAGGUAUACCUCAUCAGUUGGAUGCCUAGAUAAUAUCUCGAUUAGGGAAACACCGAGGAGAGUUUGUAGUUGGGCUGUGAUUGUUUUUAAGAAGGCCAAGUUCGGAUCUUUCUCAAGUUCAGUAUACUCGGGGGUUCCUGGCUCAGGCAUAAAUCGGCGACUUACGGUUGGACGGUUAGGGAGAUAGCCAGCAUAAGGGUAUUGCCCAAAAUUGACAGCUGCAUGGAGCGCUGAAGCUAUCCAAAUGAUGAUUGUGCAUGUUUGCGUAAGAUCAGCUCGUGUCUGCAUCUCAGGCCACCAUGGUUCAUCUUUUUUGUCACCAUGUCCCUCAUUACGGAUCUCUGCCCACCAGGAUUGAAGUUCAGUGUCAUCCCGAACCAAGUCAUCUGUUGGAUAGUAGAAAGCACAAUAUUCCAUCACCCAAGUUUCAAUUGCUGACCAGACUUCUAAACCAUCAACAGCAUAAGGGUAAUCUUCUAUCAGAAGUCUCAGACCAUGUCGUUGGCUUGAAUCUGAUCAGCAGGGAGUGCAUGCUCAGUGAAAACCCAGCUCUUGUAAACCACAGAAGAUAAUUCCAUGGCAUAUUUGGCUGGGAAAACAGUUAUCUCAAGUAUCCCCCCAGCAUUGAUGAGAAUCUGCCUAGCCAAGGCAUUUAUGUUCAUUGUAUCACGGAAGUGUGGAUGCAGAAGCUUAUAGAUUGGGUGAAGUACACUUAACUGUCUGUUUGUGGCAAUAAUAAACGGCUCUAUAGCAGCAUGUGUGUUCAACCUGCAAAUAAGCACAAGCAUUCAGGCAUGCAAUUCUAAAGUAGGACCAGCUUUUUCCCUGUGCCACGAAAUUGCCUCAUUUUGAAAUCAUACCAGUGGCUAAUAAGCUGAUGGUAUCCAGAAUCAUUUACGGCAGCAUAAGCUUUUGCCAGCUGCCACACUGAGCCCUCAACACCAUCUUCUGCCGGAGUGAAAACUUUGCUGACAGCACCAUGACGUUCCCCUUGUGGAUGCGGAAGACUUAGCUCAAUUGCCAAUGGCUUCAAUGUCCCAUCAUCUUGCAGUAAAAGGAUUGUUCUUGUAGCAUAAGUCCUUGUUGUUGUUGAGUUUAUUUUCGUCAGGUAUGGCAUCAAUGCAUCAUGAUGAUCUAAUAUAAACAACUUGUUAUUUCUGAUUGCCUAUAUCAAGAAAAAAAUGAAACAUACAGUUAAGGAAACAAUUGUAAUAUCUCUUAAUUGCAAUGUAUAUGGCGCUUUGAUAUCCAAUAAAGACAUGAGAUAAAUGAAGUGUGUUUACUUGA